rnacentral:rRNA from 1 species
GUGUCAGCAGCCGCGGUAAUACGUAGGGGGCAAGCGUUAUCCGGAAUCACUGGGCGUAAAGGGUGCGUAGGCGGUCGACAAAGUCUGGGGUGAAAGGCUACGGCUCAACCGUAGUAAGCCUUGGAAACUUGUUGACUUGAGUGCAGGAGAGGUAAGUGGAAUUCCUAGUGUAGCGGUGAAAUGCGUAGAUAUUAGGAGGAACACCAGUGGCGAAGGCGACUUACUGGACUGUAACUGACGCUGAGGCACGAAAGCGUGGGGAGCAAACAGGAUUAGAUACCCUGGUAGUCCACGCUGUAAACGAUGAGUGCUAGGUGUCGGAGCCGACAGGCUUCGGUGCCGCAGCUAACGCAUUAAGCACUCCGCCUGGGGAGUACGCUCGCAAGAGUGAAACUUAAAUGAAUUGACGGGG